AUCCGCGAAAAAAUACACGCCCCGCGAAAAUCCGCGGAAAUUUUCGGGAAAAUUUCCGCGGAUUUUCGCGGGGCGUGUAUUUUUUCGCGGAU
rnacentral:pre_miRNA from 1 species